AGCGAACGCUGGCGGCAGGCCUAACACAUGCAAGUCGAGCGCCCGUAGCAAUACGGGAGCGGCAGACGGGUGAGUAACACGUGGGAACGUACCCUUCGGUUCGGAAUAACCCAGGGAAACUUGGACUAAUACCGAAUACGUCCGUAAGGAGAAAGAUUUAUCGCCGAAGGAUCGGCCCGCGUCCGAUUAGCUAGUUGGUGGGGUAAUGGCCCACCAAGGCUACGAUCGGUAGCUGGUCUGAGAGGAUGANCAGCCACACUGGGACUGAGACACGGCCCAGACUCCUACGGGAGGCAGCAGUGGGAAUCUUGCGCAAUGGGCGAAAGCCUGACGCAGCGACGCCGCGUGAGGGAUGACGGCCUGG
rnacentral:rRNA from 1 species